UGGGCUUGGCGAGAGGGGGCGUUUGAGGGCCUGGGGUUCCUGGAGAUAGCAUGUCCAAAGAUACACACACAUACACACACACACACACACACACACACACACACGCACACACACAUACACACACACACAUGCACACAUACACACACACACGCGUACGCCGUGCGGCACUCACUGGUGGUAGUCCGCCACGCCCUGCUGCAGCUCCGCCAGCUGCUCCGGCGUGACCGCCUCGAUGAUGUCGAACAGGCGGUGCAGGUUGUGGCGGCUGACGCGGAUGGAGAACUUCUCGUACGGCACCACGUCCCAGAAGUACUGCGCGUGUGUGAGUUUGAGCGUGAGUUUGAGUGUGUGUGUUUGUGUUUGUGUGUGUGUGUUUGUGCUAUAUAUAUAGAGAGAGUGUGUGUGUGUUUGUGUGCGUGUAGAAGGGCGUUUUUGUGGACGUGUACGUGCGUCGGGAGGGGAUGUUUGUUUGCGCCCGCGCCCCUGCGCACUCUGGCGCCGCCCACGCCCCCGCCCCCGGCCACCCGCGCACCGUGUAGAUGUGGUCUUGGAUCAGCACUGGCACACAGCCCGUGAACAUGGCCUGUGGGUGGUGGUGGUGUGUGUGGGUGGGGGGAGUGGUGAAGGUGAGUGGAGGUGGGCGGAGAUGGGUCAAAUUGGGGAAGGUGCAGGAGAAGAUGGGUGAACAACUAAAUGCGUAGGGGAAGAUGCACGGGGAAGGUGCACGGGAAACGGUGCCAUGAGGACGCGUGCCAGGAGAGCUGAGCGGUGAGCGCCCAUCUCACGGCUCCCGCAGACACCCCUCUGCUCUUGGCCCCUCCCACCAGAGCCCUCCCAUCCGUGUCUCUGGUUUGCUGUUGGGAAUGGUGAGCCCCUCCCCCCACCCACCCACACCCACACACACACACACUCGCCCCCCCCCCCACACACAUACACACACACAACCAAAUACACACGGCCCCACCUGUGUGAAGCGGAUGCCCCAGCCGUACCCCAGCGGCGCCAAACAGAACUCGAACUUGGCGGUGAAGGACGGGCCGGCGCCUGGGUGUGUGUGUUAAAGAGCACAAGGGGUGUGUGUGGGGGGGGGGGGAGAGGGCCGGGAUCAAGCAGGGCGGUGGGUGUGAGGAAGCGUGCCGGCGUGGGGACGCGGGGAUGGGAGUGCCGGCAUGCAUACCCUAAAACCCUCGCGUGGCAUGCGAAGGCACAACGCUUUCCCUCCCAGUCGCCCGGUCCUCACACCCCUCCUCGCCGUUCCUUGCCCCUCCGCAUUCCGCACUUGAUAUAACUCAGUCCAUCUCUGAUGGACGGCUACCUUUUCAAUCCCUUCUUACCCACGCUCCCCUUUAUCCCUCCCUGUCCGCUUCGAUCCGCCCUCCUUCCUACCCCCUCCCUCCUCACCCUUGUUGAUGAGCACAUCCGGUCGCGACAUGUUUUUGAACAUGGCCAACAAGCCCUGGCGCACACCGCCGCUGUAGGCCAUGUCAGGCCUGCGUGCGUGUGUCCGUGUGUUUGUGUACUUGAAGGGUGAGAUAUUAUGUGUGUAUAUGUGUGUAGAAGAGCACAAGGAAAACAUUGCGCGUAGGACAGUGUGUGUGUGUGUGAUGGGAAAGUGGUAAGGCAAGUUGGUAAAGUCCCGUAGGGUGCAGCUGAUUCCCAGAACCCAACAAAUGUGUGUGUGUGUGUGUGUGUGUGUGGGCGUGUGUGUGUGGGCGUGUGUGUGUGUGUGUGUGUGUGUGUGUGUGUGUGUGUGUGUGUGUGUGUGUGUGUGUGUGUGUGUGUGUGUCUGGCUUGGAGCGUUACGCCGGCCUGUCACACGUGCAGCGUGUACUGCGUUGCCUGGCCCGGUCGACCCCAGCCCCUCUCCUCUUCUUGCCAGGGGUACGCAGGCCCUGCUGCUUGCUGUGGAGUUCGCAGCCCGCCUACGUGUUCUUGUCAUUCAUACUAUGUUGUACUUCAUUACCGCCUACCUUGAUGGGGUCUCGCCCUGCCCUGCACUGCCUCGCCCUGCCCCGCCCCGCUCCGCCCCCGCCCCUUCCACGUCACCCACUUGCUGAAGCCGUGGAAAUGGAACAGGUAGGGCCGGUCCACUGGCUUGGGCUUGUACCUGGAUGUUGAAGGGGGGUAGGCGUUCAUAAAGACUGAAGUGAUUGAAUCACAAGUUUGAAGCGCGUAGCUAGGCAAGAAAAGUGGAAGACCAAUGGUGCGGACCGGCACGUGGCAGUCGGGGUACGGGGUUGUGCCCGGGCUUAUGCAAACUUGUGCCACAUGUAAGCGCAUCCCCAACCCUUCCGCUCCCUGCUGCCUAUCCAACCAACCAAAAUCUCAACAACUCAUCAACUUGGCCACCUAGCUGAUGAUGCAAGCUAAAGUCAGCAAUAGAUCUCACUUGCAGCUAAUACGGUAAUGCUAGCCAAAAUCAGAGCUCUCACCUGCCGCCGCCCAGGCUCUCAAACGCCAUGUCCAUCUGGUGGAGCCACGGCGUGUCUAGGUAGUUGGGGAUGGCCACGUCCUGCUCGGGCCUGUGGUUGCGUGUGUGUGUGGGGGGGGCGUACAGUUUACGCCUGUGGGGAGGCAGACAGCCAAAUGGGUAGGCAGCAGCUGGCGACGCACAACAGGUUAUGGGGGCGUGGAGGUCGCGGCGCGUGUGAGGCAAGGGGUAGUCAUUCCAGGCGUUUAGGGACAGCCGCAUUCACCUCCCCUGGUUCAGUUGGGUUUGAAUUCAGUAACCCCCCGCCGUCCGUGGGAUGCAGCCCGGGUUGGGGUAAGUGGGGGUAAGUGGGGGUUUAAGUGGGGGCUCGCACGCACGGUGUGCAGUCUAGGCCCAGAGUUUGGCGAGGCGCGCUCAAAGAGGUCUGGGCAGCGCUGACGUACGCUAGUGAUACUAGUUUUGGAAGCCAAAACAGUCCAGCUGCAAAACAGCAGUUUGACAUUUUCUCCCGCCGAAGUCGAAGCGAGAACCGCGAACCAAUUCUAUGUCCGCGACUUGACCAAUACAGAACUAUCGUACCACAUUCGGGUCAUAGAAGAUGCGGCAGUGGGAGCCCGAGAACUGCGUCAGUUCGGCUGGAAGGCGUAGCGUGUCCGGCCCAGAUACAUUGCGACCGAUUCGGAAUGGAACUUUCAACAGCAGCUCGGCGCUGGAGCCAAACUUCUGCUGGCAGAGCUGCGCUGCGAGCAGGGAUGUUGGGACAAGCUUCCACAGAGUCAUCUCGCGCGUGCUUUACGUCGUUUCGCUCUUAAUUACGCAGCAAUGCUAGGUUAGGAAAGGAGAAGCUUGCAAAAGGGCAGAGCUGGACAAGCAUUUGCACUUCAAUUUUUGUUGUUUUCAGCGACACCAGGAAGGAAGGUAGUGAUAUGGCACUACAUACAAGUGAGUAGCAGGGAGUAGCUUAGCUGAGGACCAAGGAGCCAUUCGGGCGCUUGUGUCAGCGGCCAACCCUGCUGCGUGCUGAGCCUGCUGCCUUGUACGCGCCCAUCCCACAGAAAUACGCGAGUCAGCUGUCAGCAAGUAGGUGUCCUGCAGAUGCAUCCGCAAUCCAUAACAAACUCUGGGCGCUAGUAUCAUUGAACAGAGCUGAGGGCCGUGUUUCACAUUUCAAAUAAUAGCGGUGUUGACAUCCGGCAACUCCAUCAUGCCGCGCCCACACAGCUCCAACAAUAGAUCUAUAAGAAUCAUUACAUCUGCAUGCACAGCUUGAGCAGCUUGGGCUCCCGCGCGAAAGUGACCCUGCGCAUCCCAAUCGCGAAGCGGAGCGGCCCCGGUGACUCCAAAAUGUCUCCUGGUGGAAUAUGCCUACUGAGGAACGCUUGCUGGCGUCGCUGGUCGCCACACACGGCUGGGCGGACCGCGCUCUGCUCACUGUGUUGGCACACGCUAGCAAGCCCCUGACUGGCUGCGCGCCUGCCUGGAUGUGUUCCAAGAUUCAGGUCUCAUCGCCUGCAUAGUCUUGACGGGCAAUCAGUCACCUGCGACUAAAAGCACGCUGGCCCUGGCGUUGAUCAGGACCGACACGCUGCUGGCCGGGGCGCCCCCCCCCCCCCCCGGGGCGUCCGCCGCUAUGCGCCUUGGGCAGCCACACGCCGGCGGCCCGCACCUCCGGCGGCCGGGCCGGUGUCAGCGCGCAGUCGCCCCGGCCGCGCGACGACCCAUCUACAGUGGCAGGGACCCUGAAUCACAUCCGACUGGACAAGCUGGGCGUAAUGAACAACAUGCUCCUCGCUCGCGAUACUAGUCCCUGCGGCAGCGGCGCAGGGGUCCUGCUCGCCCCUUAUCUCCGAGGCGGGGGCUGCACUGCUGCGCAGCAACCUGCUCGAGCACAUGGCGCGGGGGCACUGCUGCGGCUCGCCACCCAGGUCACGCCGCCGCUGCCGCUAGCCAGCGUGCAGCCGAGGCGGCAGCGCUGCAGACGCUGCAAGUGCUGCAGGGGUACAGCCGAGGGGACCCGUCACCAGUGCAGGCGCUGCUCUCGCAUGCCCCCGUUGCGCAGGUGGCGACGCUGGUGGCCACGCUAGCAGCGGCCUGGCAGCGCCUAAUGAUCAUCAGCACCAGCAGCAGCAGUAGCGGCGCGCGCCGUCGGUUGUGCCGCCGGUGCCGCUGGUGGUGCUGGCGGUGCCGCUGGCGGUACCGCUGGUGGUGCUGGCGGUGGUGCUGGCGGUGGUGCUGGCGGUGGUGCUGGCGGUACCGCCAGCAGCGACUCGACGGCUGUUCCGGUCUAUCUGGUGGGCGCCAGCAGCUGGGGUGGUGUCAAUGUCGGGGAUUCGGCGGCGGAGCGGGCUUUGUCGGUGGCAGCGCUUACCGGUGAGCUGGUGUUGCUGAUGGAAUGGGGCGCUGGCGCCGGUGCCUGAUGGGCCCGACUGCUGAAGGGCAGGGCAGGGCAGGGCAUGCACGACGAGGAGCAGGCUGACCUGCUGUUGCAGCUGCAGCAGCGAGUGGCUGCACGAGACGCGGCAAAUGGCAGAGUCCAGUGUCAGGACAGGACAGGACAGAACACGAUGGCGGACGUGGUGCGCGACACUAGCCACACUACGAAACACGCGGGGCAAAGGCUGGAUGAGGCGCGCGCGGGCACGCCACCAGUCCACCACCUGGUUGUGUGCUGCCGUAGCUGCCGGCGGCGGCGGCUUUGACGGGGCCUGCCGGGGCGGCGGCGGCGGCCAUGCUGAUGACGCUCGUCCUUACGAGUGCAACCGCAACUUUGGAUUCGUGCCGCAUCAAUGAAAUGCAUCGGUGUUACACUUGUUGUCCUGACAGUGCUGCCAAGCACCAAGGUAGGCCGGCGCUGUGCACAUGCCGAUACGCGCGGCGGCUUGAGUCGCCAUCCGAGCUUUCUUAUCUACCGUUAACUCAUUCGAAGCGCCUUAGAGCCAGGUCAAGCGCUACUGCGGCGCCACGGUUCUCUCGGAACCGUGCCUUCUCCGCAUCCCCGCUCUGCCUUCCCCUCACGGCGGCUCACCAGCCUCCUCACGCCCUCCGACGGCACCGUGAAGCCGCUAUCGCGAAUGCUUUCAAGACUGACAAUGCGAAGCCGAGAAAGCCAGCGAGCACAACGUCGCGUCGAGAAGGCUAACCCAGGCUAUCCCCUUCGGACACACACAGCUACCCGGAACUGGUGCCCUGCACCCUGCGCGCACCCCGCCCUCCUGCCCAGCUUGACUCCUUAAGAACUAUAACUCUUCCAAUGUCUCCGCAUGCCCACCACGCUCAUGUGCAAACCCGCUAUUCUUCUUGAUAGGAUAGCCUGUCGCUCAGAAGGGGCCAUUCAGCGGGCGGCCCCAGUGCUGCUCGGCGGCCUUGGUCAUCUCAAGGCCAAUCUCACACUGCACGUCAGGGCGGAUGAGUGUUGAGGUAAUGAGGGUGGUCCAGGCGUCAAUGCACUCCCACAGGUUGCGGCAGGGGACGGCGUAACCCAGGCGCUUGAGUCCCUACACGAGCUGCUCGCCCCCUCCCCCCCAGCGCCGGGGGUCGAUGAUGAAUCACUGCGACACGGCCUCGCUAGCGGCCUCGCUGCCCAUUGCUGACUGCGGGACGUGCAGCAUGACACAACGCAGCCGGCCUGUGUAGCAGGAUAGUCGGCAAAAGCUGCAUCUAGAUGCCCCAGGCCGUGUUCGGGUCAUAUACUCCUGUAUUGUAGAACUUCCGUGUUCCGCCCACGGUCUGCCAGGAGCAGCGCAACCUGCUCCUGGUCCCGUGCGUGCCGCGCCCAUUGCCAUUCCACCCGCAGCUGUUGGCUGCGCUCACCGCGGGUCAGGCGGGACAUGGAUUCAAUCAGCUGGGUAGCCUGGGGAGCCGGCAGGGCCAGCGUCAGCUGCAGGGUGGUCAUGUGGGACAGAUCCCCAAUGGCCAGCCGCGCGUGGCCCCGGUCACGCCUAGGGCAAUCGCGACAGCAGCCGUUGGGGAUCUGUCCCACAUGACCACCCUGCAGCUCACGCUGGCCCUGCCGGCUCCCAAGGCUACGCAGCUGAUCGAGAACAUGACCCGCCUGACCCGCGGUGAGCUCAGCCGACAGCGUAGGGUGGGAUGGCAGUGGGUGCGUGGGCUGGGUCUGGGGAGCGGGGUCUGUGAGGGCGCGGAGUUCCUGGACCAUCGCCGCUGCUGUACGGCUGUUCGGCUGCUCGAGCAUUUGGCUAUUUGGCUAUUUGGUGCUCGGCGGCUCGGCGAUGGCCGUCAACGCUUCUCGCUUCUGCGCCGCUCGCUCUUUUACUUACUCUCUCUCUCACGUGCUCUCAUGUAGUUCCCGGGAACAACGCCGUCCACAUGUUGAGCAGGCGGCGGUGCAGGCUGGUCAUGGUGUUGUUGUAGGCUAGGCCGCCGUGCCGCCCGUGCCAGCUGAAGUGCCUGAGAGAGGACGAGGGGCGGGGAGGCAGGGGCGUGUGUAAGGAAAGCAAAAGGGGGAGGUGGGCGGGCGCGUGUGAGUGUGUGUGGGCGUGCGUGAGUUUUGGUGAACAAAUGGGGGGCCGUUCGAUGCGGCAUGCAUGCAUGCAUGCAUGCAUGCCGUACACACACACGCUGGAGGGGGUUUGCGGGUGCGUGGGCUGGGCCUGGGGAGCGGGGGCGUGUGAGGGCGUGGGGUUCCUGGAAUGGCACGGCCAAACACACACACACACACACACACACGCACACACACAUACACACACACACAUGCACACAUACACACACACACGCGUACGCCGUGCGGCACUCACUGGUGGUAGUCCGCCACGCCCUGCUGCAGCUCCGCCAGCUGCUCCGGCGUGACCGCCUCGAUGAUGUCGAACAGGCGGUGCAGGUUGUGGCGGCUGACGCGGAUGGAGAACUUCUCGUACGGCACCACGUCCCAGAAGUACUGCGCGCGUGUGAGUUUGAGCGUGUGAGUUUGAGCGUGUGUGUGUGUGUUCGUGUGUUAGUGUUAUAGUGUAUGUGUUAUAGAGUGUGUGUUACAGAGAGAGUGUGUGUGUUUGCGUUUGUGUGUGCGUGUUGUAGGGCGUACGUGUUUGUGGACGUGUACGUGUGUCGGGAGGGGAUGUUUGUUUGCGCCCGCGCCCCUGCGCGCUCUGGCGCCGCCCACGCCCCCGGCUACCCGCGCACCGUGUAGAUGUGGUCUUGGAUCAGCACCGGCACGCAGCCCGUGAACAUGGCCUGUGGGUGGUGGUGGUGUGUGUGUGGGGGGGGGGGGGAGAGUGGUGAAGGUGGGUGGAGAUGGGGGGAAGAGUGGGGAAGAUAGGGGAAGAUGGGGGAAGAUAGGUGAAGAUGGGGGAAGAUGGGGGAAGAUGGGAGGGAAUCGUGGCGUGGUGGCAGUGCCAGUGCCAGGAAGAGGCGUGCCAGGAGAGUUGAGCGGGCAGUGCCCACCUCACGACUCCCCCAGGCACCCCUUUACUUUGGCCCCUCCCGUCAGGGCCCUUCCAUCUGGUUUGCUGUUGGGAAUGGUGAAUCCCUCCCCCUGCUAUAUUACUGCUCCUGGAUACCGCCUUCACUUCUUCAAAAAUCAUGACUGCAACCCCACCAACACACCCACACCCACACCCGCCUACACCCACUCACAUACACACACACACACACACACACACACACACACACACACACACACACACACAACAAACACACGGCCCCACCUGUGUGAAGCGAAUGCCCCAGCCGUACCCCAGCGGCGCCAAACAGAACUUGGACUUGGCGGUGAAGGAGGGGCCGGCGCCUGGGGGGAGUGUGUGUGUGGGUGGGUGUGGGUGUGUGGGUGUGUGGGUGUGUUAAAAAGCACAAGGAAAAGACAGUGUAUGCGAUGCAGCAAAGCGACAUGUGUGUUUGUGUGUGUGGGGGGGGGGGGAGGGAGAGGGCCGGCUUAAAGCGGGGCGGUGGGUGUGAGGGAGCGUGCCGGCGUGGGGACGUGAGAUGGGAGUGCCGGCAUGCAUACCCUAAACCCCUCACAGGGCAUGCGAAGGCACAACGCUUUCCCACCUCCCAGUCACCCUGGCCGGCCACCAGCAGAAGCCUCACCCGCUCCUCACACCCCUCCUCGUCGCUCCUCCCCCCUCCGCAUUUCGCACUUGAUACAACUCAGUCCGCCUUUGAUGGACGGCUACCCUCCUCAAUCCCGUCUCACCCACGCUCCCCUUUAUCCCCCCCUGUCCGCCCUGAUCCGCCCUCCUCCCUACACCCUCCCUACCCCCUCCCUACCCCCUCCCUCCUCACCCUUGUUGAUGAGCACAUCUGGCCGCGACAUGUUUUUGAACAUGGCCAACAAGCCCUGGCGCACACCGCCGCUGUAAGCCAUGUCAGGCCUGCGUGCGUGUGUUUUUGGAGGGGGACAUUGUGUGUGUGUGUGUAUGUAGGCGUGUGUGUCUGGCUUGGAGCGUUACGCCGGCCUGUCACACGUGCAGCGUGCACUGUGUUGCCUGGCCCGGUCGACCCCAGCCCCUAUCCUCUUCUUGCCAGGGCUGCGGGCUGGAGGGGCCCCUGCUGCUUGCUGUGGAGGGGCCCCUGCUGCUUGCUGCUACGCCUACGUGUUAUUGCCAUUCAUCAUAUAUUGUAGUUCAUUCCCGCCUACCUUGAUGGGGUCUCGCCCCACCCCGCCCCGCCCUGCCCCGCCCCACCCCGCCCCGCUCCGCCCCGCCCCCGCCCCUUCCACGCCCCUUCCACGUCACCCACUUGCUGAAGCCGUGGAAGUGGAACAGGUAGGGCCGGUCCACUGGCUUGGGCUUGUACCUGGAUGUUGAAGGGGGGUAGGCGUUCAUAAAGACUGAAGUGAUUGAAUCACAAGUUUGAAGCGCGUAGCUAGGCAAGAGAAGUGGAAGACCAAUGGUGUGGACCGGCAAGUGGCAGUCGGGGUACGGGGUUGUGCCCGGGCUUAACUUGUGCCACCUUUAAGCGCACCCCCAACCCUUACGCUCCCUGCUGCCUAUCCAACCAACCAAAAGCCGUUCAUUAACUUGGCCACCUAGCUAAUAAUGCAAGCUAAAGUCAGCAAUAGAUCUCACUUGCAGCUAAUAAUGCUAGCCAAAAACAGAGCUCUCACCUGCCGCCGCCCAGGCUCUCAAACGCCAUGUCCAUCUGGUGGAGCCAGGGCGUGUCUAGGUAGUUGGGGAUGGCCACGUCCUGCUCGGGCCUGUGGUUGCGCGCGCGUGUGUGUGUGGGGGGGGGGGGUUACAUUCAUGAUUAGUUAAGGAAGUGGUAGACAGUAGACCGGGGGGGGGGGUAAGUUUACUCCUGUGGGGAGGCAGACAGCCAAAUGGGUAGGCAGCAGAUGGCUACGCACAACAGGUUAUGGGUGCGCGAAGGUCGCGGCGCGUGUGAGGCAAGGGGUAGUCAUUCCAGGCGUUUAGGGACAGCCGUACUCACCUCCCCUAGCUCACUUGGGUCCAGAAACCCCCGUCGUCCGUGGGAUGCAGCCUCAACCCCGCCUGCCCGCCCCACCCCACCUCCUGCAGUGGCCGUGCAUAAGCAGCUUGCAGCGCACCCCAUCACCCUUUGUUUGGUUUGGUCCUCGUAACCCAAACCCUUCUUCCUCUUUCCAACCCUGCCUCCCCUCCCCCCUGCCCACUUCCAACCCUGCCUCCCCUCCCCCCUGCCCACUUCCUUAACUAACCAUGCAUGUUAACCCCCCCUGCCCACCUCACCUGAAGCACGGCUCCCGCUCCAUGCGGAUUGCGUCCAGCGAGUAACCCGGCACGCCCUUGAACCGCACCCGCUCCCCUAGCAGCUCGAGCGGGUUCACAGCCCGGCCGCCCUCCCCGCCUCCUCCUCCUCCUCCUCCCCCGGCCCCUCCGCCUCCGCCUGCCCCCCCUCCGGGGCCGCCGUCCGCCUCCGUCGCGACCUCUUCGUCCACGGGUCCGGCGCUGCUGCUGCCGCCGUGCAGGCGCUGCGUGCGCAGGGCCAGGCGCCGCCACUCGCGCACGGCGGCGUCGAAGGCCGGGUCGUACUCGUGCGGUUGCUGUUUGUGAGAUUGGCGGUGGUGGUGGUGGGGGGGGGUGGGAGAUUGGUGUGGGAGGGUUGGAAAAUUGGUGUGGGGGUUUGGGGAGAUUGGGGUUGCGGUUGGGGGAUGGGGGCUAGGGAUGAGGGAUGGGGGUGGGCCUCAUACUCGUGAUUCACUGUGAAGUGAAGUUGUAGGGGGUGCGGGGGCGGGUGCACGGCGGCUAGCGGGGUGUUGGGACACCCGUGCCUUCAUUUCAAUCAUCGCGCGCGCACCGAAUCCAACCCCAAGUGCAAUCGUGCGGGCCUGAUACCCUGAGUCCCAACGCCAGCCCGGCCGGCGUCGUCCAGCCCAGCCAUCCCAAUACAGCAGCCAGCUUCUGUCAGCCAGCCAUGGGCGCGACCGUCCACAGCGUUUACCGUCGGUUACGAGGUAACAUGGGAAUUCGCAACUUGCGCUACUGACUGCCUACUCUCGUGCCGCCUGCAAGCCCACUCCGCCUUCCGCUCUGGUCUACGUACGCAUUAGUUCCGCAACACUCGUCAAUAACCCUGCCAUUCGAGCCACGACUGAGAGACGCGCGUGUGCGUAUAUCGAACUCCGUCUCCCGGCCACGCCGCCACAAUACCGUAAUGCUAAUAACGUUGGCCGGCACCCCAACAUGCCUCAUGGCGGCCCCUCAACGCCCCCACGCGGCAGCCCACUCACCCCCUUGAUGGUGAAGGUGCGGUGGGAGUGGAUGCUCAGUCGCCCCGCCUGGCCGUAGUGCACCAGCUGCGUGCGAGCGAGCGAGCGAGCGGGCGAGCAAGUGAAGGAGUGAACACGGAUGGAAGAGGGCUCGUAACAGAGCUUGGCAAGAGACUGUGGGCACGUAUGGUGCAUGUUUGCACUCCAGAGCCGCACAACAACGUAACAUGCAUAAGAGCUCGAAAGGGCGCCGACCAUGUGAGCAGCGUGUGCGUGCUGUGAUUGCGGCAUCAGCUCAGCACCAAAGCACAAUGAGCACUGUUGCGCGUGCCCAUGCUGCCUAGUGAUAAUUUCAUUUCAUAUUAUAUUGUAUUUCGUUCCCAUCUACCUUGAUGGGGUGCGACAGCUCUGGCUGCGUGCGCUGCAGCUUGUAAAGGUCGCAGGUGCCGCGGUCGUUGGUGGCCAACGCGAUGUGGUUGCGGCCGGCGGUCAGGUUCCAGAACGGGUACCUGCCAGGGGUCAACGAGGCAGGCCAGCGAGGGGUGCGGGCACGGGGUGCGGGCAGGUGGUUGAGGGGCAGGGUUACCAAGUUCCAGAGACCCGCACGCAAGGGCGUAGUCGUGUGUGGCAUAAGCGUGCGUAUGGACGGUGCUGCCGAUGCAAGCGCAUGCAGCCGCUUGGAGGGGGGCAGGCCAGGGCUGUCAAGUUGUAAAAGGGUGUGUGUAUAUGCCAGCCCAAACUAAACCAAACCAAGCCAAACUAGCGGAGCACAGGCAGAGGCGACAGAUGGGCCGUGGAGAAGGGCGUGCAGGUGAUUGCGCGCUCUGCGCCACCUACACCUGCCCGCUGCCCAAUGACCCAGUGCGGCGUGGGGCGAUGUGGUUCAAGGCAUGACGGGCGACAAGUGACGCGGUGUGUCGGCCAACUCACUUGGUGCGCACGUAGUUGAACACGGAGCUGAAGUGGCGGGCGGGGUAGCCGAUGUUGCCUGGGUGCGGAGCGUGGGGCGGCGUGUGGGGCGGCGUGGGGCGGCGUGAGGCGAUGCGCCGUCCGUGCCCGCUGGCUCCGGCUUUGGCUCGCUCCAUGCCUGCCUCAGCCAUUGCCUUGAAGCCCCCAGGCCCCAGGCCACUCAACAUGGGUCCCUCACUUUCUACCUCUCCAACCCCACCUCCAGCUCGCUUCCCUCCCUCCCUCCCUCCUUCCCUUCCUCCCUCCCUCCCUCGCUCCCUCCCUAGCUCACCGGUGAAGUAGAAGGUGUAGGCGUUGAUGAGGAACAGGUUGGCCUCCCAGGGGUUCUGGGUCAGCACGGCGCCGUCGCCCAGCAGCGAGUCCACGAACGACACCUCGGCAAGGUACAUGGUGUCAACCAGCGCCCUGUGACGGAGUCGGAUGUUUGCAACGAUGUUUGGAAAAUAAAGCGGUACAAGAUGACCUGAAAACUGCAGACGAAGUCGUUACCACAUGAGCGGCCGUCCGGGGUUGGAGAAAACAGCCCAAACUAAACCGAACCCAAUGCAAAAGAGCGAGGAGGAGAGCGUGGCCUAUGCUUUGACAACGGAACGGCACUCGCGGAGAGAGUGGACAGGGUGUUUGUAGAAGUUUGGCGAUUUGGUCAAGGCCGUUUCGCAUUGUUUGGUGACCUUGAAACGCAGGCUCUGCACCUGCUCCGUGGCGCACCGCCUACCCUGCCGCCGCCCUCAGAUCCCGCAGCCAUCACCCACGGCAUGCCAACGGCGGGACACCGGUGCCGCUACAGCCAACAACAGCAACUCACGGGAUGUCAUGCCAGGGCUUCUUGAAAGCCAGCUGCUCGGGUAUGGAGUACACGUACACACGCAGCUUGGAGGGGUGGGGUAGCCAGGCUGAGGACGGGGAGAGAGGGAGAGAGGAAGGGGGGGGGGGCAGCGGCGUGUUGGGGAACGCAAGGGCGGGUCACGCAGCCGUGUGGCGCUGUUGUGUAUGAGCACAAGUUGACUGGCAUGGGCUGCGCAGCCGCAGCAGACGUAAUUUGUGCCCUACUGGCAACAACAGAAACAACGCCCCCCGUCUCUCGUGGACAGCCCACUUCCAACGCCACUCCUGGAUACACCGCCACCCCUGCCUCUCGUGGGGAGCUUCCCUCCCCCGUCGACACACACCCACACCCCCCCACACACACACCGUGCAAUCCCCCCCCCCCCACACACACGCAUAUACUACACCUGGAAUACACACGCAUGCACUCACUGUCCGACACGUAGGCCUGGCUGCGCGCACACGCCAGCCCCCAGUAACUCGGCUUGCAGUGGCAGAAGCCGCCGUGGCAGGUGCCGCGGCCGCUGCAGCCCUGGAAGCAGUGCUCCGCCUGGGGCGUCUCGCAGGCGUCGCCCUGCAGAGGAGAGGGAGAGGGAGGGCGAGGGAGGGAGAGGGAGGGAAAGGGGGGUGGGCAUUCAUCACAGCUAUUUGGCAGGUUGCAAUUGAGACAUGUAGACGGAGCGUUGUAAUAAAGAAGCGGUGUUGUAGAAGAAAAGAAAGCAGCAACGGUGUUGUAAGGGACCUACGCCGGGGGGGUGCAGUCACGCCUGCAGUGUAAGGGCAUCUUGACCGCACCCACGCACGCCCCUCCACGGCUCCCCGCCACUCACGCCGUAGAAACCCAGGCAGCGGCACUGGGGCUGCGGCGGCGGGUGGCCGUCUAUCCGCGGCGCCAGCGCGCACCACCCCCGCCCCGAGCACCUGUGGGAGUGGGAGUGAGUGCGUGGGUUUGACAGGGAGGCAGACGGAGGGCCGGCCAUUUCAUUAAGACCGGGCAAAAACCACGAAACCAGGGUUGGCUGAGAGGGGGCCAGCCACCCCAAUAAGAUCGGGGCGGGGCCACGGCAGGUAAGGCUGAGGUGACCCGGCCAGGCAGGACCCGACCACGUGCCACACGCCCGCACGUCCCACCACACGCCCCACACGGCCUACACGUCCAACACGCCCCACUUCCCACACGCCCCACACGAGGCCAGCAGCAACAGGACCCAAGAAGCUAGGCAGUAGCUGUGCAUGGCCGGCCCCCUAGGUAGCCGGUCCUCGCCUCACUUGCUGUCGCCGCACUUGUCCAGCGGCAGCCAAGUGGACUGGUCUGGUAGCGUGUAGGGGCUGGGCGGCGGCGCGUCAACCAGCUGGUACGGGUCUAUCCCGGACCGGGCGCUGGUCUGGUGGUGAGAAAGAGGGGCGGGCGGGACGAGAUGGAGGGAUUGGGUUGAAGGAUCGGAUGUGGGGGAUUGGGUUGAGGAACUGGAUGGAGGGAUCGAGCAUGCGCAGUCAAGCGUUAAUGACAAGCGGAGCAGACGCUCAAAUGGAGGCAAGGUGGUGGCAGCUGGUGGGAGCGAGUGCAGGCCGGGUGGGAGGAGAGGCGGGCGGACGCUGCCGGCACCCUCCCUUGACAACCCAGCCCCCGCGCACCUCUGCACCUUGUUUGCCAACCCUCCCGCCCUCCCGCCCUGGCACGUUGGUUUGGACACGCCCUGAGCCCUCCAGGCGCAGCCCGCACGCACACGCCACGCGCCACACGCCACGCGCGCGUGUCCGCAUCCCUUUAAAACACACAUGCCACAUCGCUGGAGAAGCCCCUCCUCCUUGCGCCCCGCCCCCUUGCACCCUUCCCAUCCCCCGAACCCCAUCCCACCUACCACUUCCUUAGCGUCCUCCCAUUCCCGCCCCGCCCAGUCACGGCCCCCUCCCUCCCUACAUGGUUGUAGUGGCCCUUCUUCCACACCACCCUCGGGUCCGUGGGUCCGUCCGGCGACAACGUGUACUGCUGAUCAUCCGGCACGUCCUGGUUGUGAGAGGGAGGAGGGGAGGGAGAGGCGUGUGUGUGAGCGAGCACAAGGCGGGGAAACAAGGACGGUGUGGGUGUAUGUGCAUGUGGGGUGCGGCGGACCACAGGAACGCACGCAAGAACGCACGCGGCUUGCGUGGUGUCGCACGGCACCAGGGCCACGCAGGGCGCCGUUGCCGGCUACGGUAAUGCGCGGUUCGCGUGCCACCGACAGCCACACACGCCAGCCACAUACAGGCCCCCAACCCCCAACCCCACCCCACAAAGCCGCGGCCGGAUGGGGAAGGGCCCCUCCGCCGCAUCCGCCACUCCUGCCCAGCCUACUUUCCCUGACCCCCCCGCGGCGCCCCACUGCCCCAGCUGCCCCACCGUCCCAGCUGCCCCACCGCCCCAGCUGCCCCACACGUUGCCCGCCCACACACCGCACACCGCGCGCUGCCGCCCCAGAUGCCGCACAGCCACACGCCGCACAGCCACGAACUGCCCGCGCACCUUUAUGAGGAAGCAGGGGAUUUCGUUCCAGGCCCAGAACUGGUAGAAGGGGCAGUUGUAGGGGUCCUCAAAGUGGGGCCGCGGACACCCGUACUUGCGCAGCUGAGCGUGGCUGCACAGGGUGUGUGUGGGUGUGUGUGUGGGUGUGUGAGGGUGUGUGCGGCCGCAGCCUCAGCAGCGGCAGUUCCGUUUCCACCCCGCCCCAACGCCCUGCAUGGCCUUGCUUGGCCGAAAGUGAAGCUCUCAAUCUUCCUAAGGUCUCUCCCUGGCCCCACCGCUGCCCCGUCCCCAGCCCCACACUGGCCGCCCUCCGCCCUCCCGCCCUCCCUCCCCCUCCCUCCCCUCCUUCCCCCUCCCCCUCCCUGCCCUUCCCUUCUCUCCCCCUCCCUCCCCCCUCCCCCCUUCCUUCUCCCCUCCCCCUUUCCCCCUUCCUUUAAGCCCCCUCCCCACAUUAGCGUUGGUUCCUAGCAUACAACCCACCCGACCCAUAAAUCACAACGCCGCACCACAAACAGUUCUUGGGCAUCCGCCUCCCUCCCGGCACGCCUUUCUCCCUCCUCGCCUACUCCCCAUCGGAAUAGAAUACGCACAACGUUCAACCUCUCAUCAAGUCCCCCCAUUCCGCUCAUACAUUCACUUCCCUCAACGCACCAGAGGCAGUUCUUAGGCAUCCAGUGCCCAAAGGCCGGAAUGGAGCCCUUCACCUCCGGUGCCAGGUGGCACGCCGGCAGCAGCCGCUGAGAGCAGUCGGGCCCGCCGAAGCCGAACUGGCACUCGCACUCGCCCGACUCGCCUGCGGUUUGAACCCGCGUUUUGAGGGACGGGGAGAGCGGGUGUGAGGGGAGGGUGAAGCGAGGAGGGCGUGGCGUGGAGAAGGGGGUGUUGUGUGCAGGGGUGUGGACAGGGUCAGAGAGGGAAGGAACAGGGCUGGUGCGAAGCCGGCAUCCCACCGCAACAACACAUCAGCACCUAAGCACCAGAAGUUCCAGCACCGGGUGGUGGCGUUGGUUGAAGGGAGUGGAAGCGGGGGCGUUUCCGACCUGGGUGCAACAUGCGCAUCGGCGCUGGAGCCGGACACUGUGCAAACCUGCCGCCAAGCGCAUCAGUCAAGCUCCUCACCGUUGCAGUUUCCAUGGUCCGUGCAGCCAGGCGGGCACUCCUUGUUUUGCGGAGUCGCGGGUUCCACUUUGGCGCUACAUUGCGCUAGGCUCAGUAUUGUAAGCAAGCACACAUAUAAUGUACGUCUUCCAAUAUCAAGGUCCAUUUCCUUUGUGUGUUGGUCACAACCGCGCCAUUUGGAAAUGCAUUGGCUUGAUAGGGGUGCUCUUCUCCGCUAGAGUGCGCCCUGGCAGUCCUCACAGAUGCUAGAAAACACGUGAACUACAGCGGCAACGGUGGAACAGCUGGAAACCUGGCCUCCCAUGCGCCCAUGCACGCGCACCGUCGCCCCUUCAGCCCCUCUCCCCCGCUCACACCUUAUAUCCUCUAUUUCGCGCAUACGCCCCCACCCCUCGCACACCUCACACCAUACAUAUAUUCUCCAGCAGUUCAUUCCACCAAACACCAUGAUGAUGAUGAACAAGACAGCUUCGCGCUCGGUCGCGUGCCGCUCCACGGCGACAACCGUCUCGCCCGCGAAGGUCGCUGACAUGAAGAAGUGGCUGCCCAUCAACCUGACCAAGAACAACCUGGUCGGGGCUCAGGUGAGAGCGAAGGCGCGAAAGGAUUCGGCGAUGGAGCAACCAUCCCCAACCGAGCGCGGGGCGAGAGCUUGCCAGUAGAAAUGCCCAAAUCGGUUAGAGUAUUGAUGCAUGUGAACGAAUGAGCUAUGCCUGGGCUUGGUGCCCGGCGGGGCAGGGACUGCGACCUCGAACCUUCCCGCAGCCACACACUGCACUCUGCUCAGCUUGCUUGCGGCAUUGCCGACCCUUGGCGUGCAUUACUUCCACAUAUGGAUGUGCAUAAGCUCUUAGUUGCGCGUAUCUUGUUUGUUGUGGCGAGGCUUGCUUGCAUCUUCACUCGGGGUGAUUGUCGACGCGCAAGCGCCUCGCCACGUCAUGUCCCCAGCGCCAUGCGCAAUCAUGACUUGCCCAUUCCGCUGCUUGGCAGGCGAAUUGUUGCCCCGGCCCAGAUUACGGUAUGCAACAUACCAGUCCCGCCCACCACGCACGGUGCCUAGCUCUUGUUACCCCUUCCUCCCCUUUCCUCUCGCCCCUUCUCCUUCCUCGCCCCCUGCCUGAACUUUCCUCCCCUGUCCGCCGUCCCCGUGUCUUCCCCCCGCACCCCCAACAGGGCGGCGAGACCACCCGCAACAUCGACGGCGAGGUGUACUAUGUGUCGUACGACGCCGCCAAGGAUGACGUGGUGGUGGUCAACCGCCGCCUGGGCGUGCGCUACCCCGCCGCCAUUGACGACCAGAACCGCGUGCGCAUCAACACCGCCGAGCCCAAGCCCGCCGCUGUGGUCGGCUUCUCCGCCGGUGCGUGGGUUGCGAGCAAGGGAUGGAGGGAGAGAGGUAGCUGGUUUAGGCUGGGUGGGCGGGUGGGGCUUGGUGUUGUGGACGAAGGGAGGGGCCGUGCGGCGCGUAGCGAGUGGGCGCUGGGAAUCGCCCAUUCCGGCUAGCAUUCGUCAUUCACAUCACUACAUCGCGCCACGCCGCUUGCCUGACCCGCCCCCCCGCAGACGCGUUCCGCCCCGUGCUGAAGGGCGACUCGGAGGGCGCCGAGGUCAUCAACGGCCGCGCCGCCAUGGUGGGUGGGAAUGGGUGGGUGGGGGCAGCCGGUUGGCAACCCGGGUCCUGGUGUGGCAUGGGGAAAUCCAACAGCAUUCGGUGGUUGGGGAUAGUCUCGAGGGGGUUGUAGGUACCAGCCCAAACGAGCAUCAAGGGGUCCUGGCUGGUUGCUGUGCAGCACCGCAGCCAACGGUGGGUUGGAGUGAAUUGCGCGGCCGCCGCCCAGACGGACGAACGGCAGCCCAACCCCUCCGCAACAGAACCUCCUCCCCUGCCCCAGUCCUCUCAUAAACCUCUGCUUGAGCAACUUCUCCUGCCUGCCUCCCUCUCAAUCCCCCCUCCCGCAGGUGGGCUUCCUGGGCAUUGCGGUGGCCGAGCUGCUGACCGGCUCCUCCGCCCUGACGCAGCUGGGCUCCGCCACCGGCGCCGCCGCCGCCGCCGCCGCCGGCCUGCUGACGCUGGCCGCCUCCAUCGCCCCCGCCGUGGCCGGCCGCGUGCCCGCCGGCCAGGUCAUUGCCAGCGACAGCGGCGCCUUCGAGGACGGCCCCCUGCCGUACUUCUGGUGAGUUGAGAUGGGUUUGGGGGCUUGCUGGUUUGGGGGUUUGGGGGUACGGGUGUCAGUGCUUUGGGAGUCAGUGGUUUGGGGCAGUGUCUUGGGGGGCUACGGGAUGGGUCCGAGGUUGGGUCUGGUAGGCGUGGCAAGGACGCCUGCGGCGCCUGCGUGCCUGCGGUGUGGAGUGGGAGGCGAGGUCCGCCGCGGCAGUGCGAGAGGCCGACGUGCGGCCAUGCGGCCGGGAGUGACGAACUCCCUCCUGAGGUCACUUGCCCCACACGCACGCUCAACACUCCUGCUUCCCGCCCCCCUUCCCGCCCGCCUGCAGGACCCCCCUGGCUGAGAAGAUCAACGGCCGUGUUGCUAUGGUGGGCACCCUGGGCCUCAUCCUCACAGAGCAGUUCCUGCGCGGCGGCGCCGCCCUGCUGUAAGCGACCCUCCGGCUUUGGACUGAUGGCCUAGAAGCAUUGCUGUUGCGGCUUUGUGCCGUGGCGGUUUGGUUUUGUUCGGUGGUGGUUAGCAGCCUUAGCCUUUAUCCUUUAUGGUUGUAUCAGCGGCUACACGGAUUUGCCUCAAACGAGGGCCAUCGCAGCCUACACGGGCUGAGACCUUUCGGGUGUGAGGUCCUGAAUUUGCAAUCAAGGACCACUUAUGAGCGAUGCGGAGUGGGCGCGUGCUGCGGAGUGUGAGGGUGCGUGCUGCGGAGUGUGAGCGCGUGCUGCGAGGUGUGCUUCAUUUAGCUCGGGAGUGUGUCGCCAUUGCUCGAAGCUGCUCGGACAAUCCACAACACGAGGUCCGAUUCAGGAGCAGCAUCUAACAGAGCGAGGGGUGGGCCGUGGCGAUUCUGGCCGGCCCGCCCCCUAGCACCACGCAGCUUGCCUGGGAGCUAGCUAGCGCGAGAGACAGCAUUUCGAGGAGGGUUUGAGAGACAGAGACUGAGGGCCUUGCCGAUUGAGGGCUCGGCUGAUUCUUUUGCCCAGAUUCGCCGGCUGCCGCUUUGGCAGCAUGUAUGUGUGGCGGGUGUUGUGAGUUAACGCUUGCGUGGCUUUUGUCGAGAGGUGUUCACAGCGGCGAGCGGUUAUAGUGUAUGGUAGUGCGGAAUUGACGGGGGAUUGCAGGGUGGCAGGAAUGGGCGGCUAGACGUGGUGUGGUGUCUGGCUCAGGAGAGGGGACAUGCGGGGACAUGCGGGGAAUGGGCAGCGGCCAACGCGGCCUGGAGGGUUUCCUAACUCGGGACCACGUUCGACAGAAUCAGGCCGCCAGGGCACACGUGACCUGCCCCCAGGACGAGCGGACAUGGUGGAAAGGGCAGGUGACAUGUAAUACGGUAGGCUGUCUCAACUCGUCACAGGCAACGGGCACCGGGGCCGGCUCCCAAUGACCCAUUGCCCAUUGCUGUCAGGGUAUGAGGCAAAGCCGGUGGUGCGGGUCACCAAGCCAAACACAGAGAGGCGAGUCGGUGUAGACAGGUACGAGCCAUCCUGCCGUCAAACCCCACAAGCCACUCCGACAUGGCCGCCGCUCGAUCGGCCUACGCGUGAUGAGACAGGAUGGUCGUGCGGUCCGGGAGACGGCACCAGUUGCAGAACACACCACCAGGGUUUGUGUCACCUGCACAGCACUGUUCCUGCGCCCGGGACCACGGCACUUGCUCUGUACUGCAUCAGCAGGUCCCUUUAGUAACCGAUGCAAUCUCUGUACCCCUUUCAUUUAUCAGCGCGGGCGGCCAGGCGCGACGAACUUUCAUGUGCCAUUGGCUGGGCGCAGUUUGUGAAUCUUUGGGACUCAGCUGAUACUCGCUUCCCUUGCCCUGUCACGGCGUUUGCUGUGGUUGAAUCAGGUUGACCCCCGGAUGCCGUUCGGCCCUUUGUGUCGUUCAGUACAGUGAAGAGCCGCAAACGCAGAAAAUGCGUGCGUGUUACACAGGCCCCCAUGGUGUUACAUGACGCCCUUCUCGUGGGGCCGAGGGCCACCAGGGGCAGGUCAUCGUCCCAAGGGCCCCCCCUGCAUGUGCGUGUUCCGUACGCACUGCCAGUUCCUACGCAUUCGGGGCAAACGAGCGCAACUCAUCCUGCACUUCGCCGGAGCCGGCGCGGUUUGCAAACACGUGCGUGAGGAAUGCCAGGCCAGGUCAGGCCGAGCACUGGUGCUCAAGAUGCAGGCAUGCGUAAUGUUUCCAUGGCGUGCUCAAUCGUGCCCUCGGACGCAUACGUUUCUCAGCAUCCCCCGAGGGGUAAGCAAAGAUUAAGCCAUAAUGUAUUCAUAUCUCAUCAUCGGGCAGAAACAUGAUGUGCGGGUGUAGAUUCCAAAGGCACUCACGCAAUACACCAGUGUGUGCGUUGUAAAUGUGAACGAUGCAGAUUAGCACGUCACUAACUCAUGUAGGCCUCAGACGCAUACGUUUCUCAGCAUUCCCCGAGGGGUAAGCAAAGAUUAAGCCAUAUUGUAUACAUCUCAUCAUCGGCCAGUUGGAAGCGCACACGUCCUAAAAACGCACGCAACACACGCAGGGCUUCGGGCACUACACCCAGCCGUCACGCCACAAAUGUUUAAGGGCACACAGCACGUCACAACUCAUGGCACAAGGCACAGAAACCGAUGACAGAAAGCGAUGUCACGCCUGGAGAGGCUGUUGGUUACUACCCCGCAGAUCGGUUGUGCAUGACGGUUUAAGCACAGCCGGUUCCAUUAGAUGAACACGAAGACGCGCCCAUGCACGACUGAUGCUUCAACAGCACCGCCAACAGUCGUGUCAACGAGCCGUGGGCCAUCGAGCUCGGUAACUCCGCACUUUCCUGACCAACGCGAUAAGAAGCCCGCUGCGUGCAUGUGUCAGUGAGACAGGCCGCACAAGGCGCCGGCUGCUGCUGGGCCGAGCAUCUUCGCCAGGCGGCGGUUGCACUGCCGUACCCGGGCUACCCACACGGCUGCUGCUGCUGCCGCCAUGCAUGCUGCUACACUGCACGCUGUGCCGGCGGCUUUGCAGCAGCAGCCGACUGCUAUGCACAGACCUUGCAGGGCCCACCCGCGCCGUCGGCCGCCGCAGCGAUGGUGCUGCGAGGGCCGGCAGCCGGUAGAAGAGCAUGCAGCUGCGAAGGCUGCUCGCUGGCGCCGAAGUACCCAUGUCGCGACGGCUGCUGCGCAGCCCGACAGCGCCCGGAACCUGCUGGUGCACUGCAGCCCUUUGCCCCGCCCUGUCUUUCCGCAAGCGUCCGGAGAUUCCGGUGUUGGCCUGCUGCCGGUGCCCCGGCAACUCCUGAGUGGCUGAUGUCCGAGCGGGAGCUGCUGCACGUAGCCCGGCACCGGCCUGCUCACGUGACGACCGCGCCCUCCCCAGGGAGCGCGGCAGGGAGGCGCCGGCUGUUGCGCGUCCCGCACUGCCGCCUGAUCACCACACACCCACAAGCUGCUGGCACUGCUGCGGCCUGGGCACGGCGUGGGUGCCGCAUGCGCUGCGCCGGUACGCUGCACGGCGUCGCGUCGCCAGCACUGCCGCCCAAAACUCAAGCUGCAGCUUCCCUCAUCACCAGAGCAAAGUACCACCCCGACCAAAGCCAUCGCGAUGCCCUCACAGCUUCACGUACCGUAUGAUACAGCGACGCAGCCGCCCAGGCGCAGCUUCGCCGCAGACGUAUGCUCCCUCCGCACGGGUCCAAGGCAAGCACCUGCAAUGCCACACGCGCAGAAAUAGACAUGCUCCCAGCUGUUUGCGUUUCUUGCUGCUGCUGCUGUUUGGUGGAGGGCACUUGCGCGUUACGGGCUGAGUGCCCUCGCUGUUGCGGGUUCGCUCGCGAUGGGCAGAGCCGCUUGCCCCUUCGUCCACUCCUCACAACCCUCCCGGUUCCUCGCUAUUCUGCAUGCUUCAUUGCCUGCCGCUGCUGUUAUCUAGCACGUCACAGUCAUGCUGAUCCAAACCGCCACUGGCCACACUUUCCAGCUGCUGCCGCCGCUGCCUGGAGGCAGCUCAAAUGCUGCAAUUGGCACUGAGUAACCUCAAACAGUCCGGCUGCCGGCUCUGCUGACAGUGUCCGCCCCAGGCUGCUACUCCUUUCGUGCUGGCAGGGCCCCUGCUGCCGCUGCUGCUGUCCGCUACAACUGCUGCCGCGCCGAGCGCGAUGAACGGGAGCGAGGGUCGGGACCGGAAAGCUCACAGGCGGACCGUUACACGUGCAGAAUCUGCGCGCAAGGGCCAAGGGACACAGAGGACCGUCAGCAUGCGAGUCAGAUGGUGAGUUGUGCUUGGGAAGGCACGCGCGCAUGUCAGAGGCCCGAAAACCCGCCCCACUCUGGCGUCCAACUCUUCCCCUAGUCCCUCCGAACCCCCGCCUCACCUUUAGACGAUCGAGUUGGCCGCGCUGGCGAUACGGGGCCACAGGUCGGCGCACUCCUUGGCCACGGGGCCAGUGAUGGCCGAGCCCUUCAUCUCACCCUUGGGGUUGACGAUGACGCCAGCGUUGUCCUCGAAGUAGAUGUAGACACCCUCCUUCCGGCGGAAGGGCUUGCGCUGGCGGAUGACCACGGCCGGGGUCACUGCGCGCACCAGCACGCACGACACGCCAGAUUAGCUACGCCGACGAGGCACUGCUAAUCCCAGUCGCGAGCGCGAGGAGCACCCAUGCGCCACAUUUCCGUGGCCCGAGUGGCCCUCGACGCCGUAAGCCAUUUGCUAUUUAUGCAUCCAAGUAGCUUAGUCGCCGCUGCAUUUGCACUUCGUUGCCGCGCCAAGCACCCCGAAUUGCCGGGCGGCCGCCGCAGCCGACCCGCCGCUCUCGCUGAAGCUUACCCUUCUUGCGCAGAUCGGGCUUGCCCUUCUUGACGGAAGCCAUGACCAUGUCGCCGCAGGCGGCGGCGGGCAGCUUGUUCAGCCUGCUGCCCCAGCCGACCACCGAGAUGACGUACAGGUUCUUGGCGCCCGUGUUGUCGGCGCAGUUCAUGACCGCGGCCACUGGGAGACCCAGGGCCAUGCGGAACUUGUUACCCGACGUGCCACCCUUGCGUUUGUUCGCCAUCUCUGCGCGCAGACAAGAGAAAGCUGUGAGCGGAGUUCUCAAGGACCUAAAUGAAUAAAAGAAAAUGCAAUUUGCCUACCUGCUGACCACCUCGGUGAGAGAAAGAAACAGUCGCGGGCCGCGCGUCAAAGCUCGCUCGGGAGAGAGACGGAAUGGGCCCUGGAGCCUUUGCCGAACUUCUGCGCAGAGGGCCUUACUAGUUCCGCUAGCAGGCUUGAAGAAUAUGCCUACUGUAUUGGUAUUAUCAAUACUGAUUUGCAGGCCGCGAGGAGGCUCAGGGAGGUUGCUUCAACUCGGCACGAACCCGGCGAGAGCGCUGGCAGCCCCGCUGGCACUUGAACCACGCCUGGCGGGCACCCUGUGUAGCGGUCGGAGAAGCGGCAGCCAAGAAACGGCAGCCAAAUAAUCGACGGGAGAUGCCAUGGCUUUAUCUUCACCCUGUGACAGGGCGUAGGUGGCACAGGUGUGGAGCACCAGGAUUAAGGUGAGGUUCAGCUUUGCGCCCGCGGUUGGCCACAACGGGAGACUGCGCCGAAGGGAGGCGGAGGGAUAGUGUUGCAGGGGGCCGGAGGGGGGCGGAGGGGGCCGGAGGGGAGGUGCAGUCGGUGUUAAGGGGAGCAGGGUGUGUGGGGAUGGGGUGUGCGGGAGUAGUGUGAGGGUGGGAGGAGGGAGGCGGAAUUGGAGCUUGCGCAAGCAGCACGAGGACUUCCCCAAGCUGCGCAUCGACUAUCUUUCGUUUCACGCAGCUGUAGCGAGAGAGUCUUGGAAGCAGUAAAGCACGAACAGAGGCUUACACACAACAACGUCUGGGUGCAUGCAGCUAGGCCUGAAGGCUGCUACCUCACCAGCGGUUCAACCUUGUACAUCCCGUCAUUCCUCCGGGCUCCGGCAUCAUAGCUAGCGUUGUUACCGUAUUGACGAAGGCUCCACCCCAGCCACAGCGGAACGAUAUCAUCACGUGUGUGCUGGCUUCAUGAGUCACGGACCUUUCAUUAUGGACGUGCUUGAAAAAACGCAACACGCACAUUCAUCAGUCACGCGCGUGUUGCAACUGGCUUUUACGAUAACAAUGGCCACAUACGCCCCGCGAGUUUAUUUCCGGUCACGGUAACAGGCGCCCUCAUGCGCUAUUAAACUAACGUGUGUCCGCAUCAUGGCACGCAUACAGGCGCUGCCGGCCGUACUCUCUCGCCGCCACGGCAGUCAAGCACACCAUGUCUCAUUCCUGCAGCCUAUCCAGCCGAGGGCACUGCGUGCGAACAGCAGCCUCAUGCAACGACUGCUGCUACUGCACAAGCAGUAGCCACCAGUCACACAAAAGCCCUUGAGCGCAGCAGGGGUUGCCUUCUGGUGCGCAUCGUUAGUUGGCCAAACCCUGCAUGUUCCCGCAAAGCCCAGCGUGUGCUGCGUGCUGCGCCAUGCUGCAGGCGGGAUGAAGCCCUCACCUCCCGUGCGCCUGCGUGCCCGUGCACCCAACACGCCUCCCCAUGCAUGGCGGUUGGCACCAUACAUAUUGACCCCACACAGCUUCACGCCAUGACAACGGACCCAGCAGAACACCUGGACCCAGAACGCCCGGACCACAUGUACCGCCGAAGCGCCCACCAAAGCGCCGAAGCGUCGAGACCGCCCGAACCGAGCACCGCUUGGGCCUUACCCGAGCUACGGCCCCAUCCAGCAAAGCUGGCAUUGUUGUCCAAGCAUUGCUACGCAUCAUGGCGCAGCGCAUUCCUUGCAGUGCCGGACACUGCCUCAAACACAUGGUUGCCUGCUGUUGCUGGCUCAGCUGCUGACGCCAGCUCUCCAGGCGCCCCAUGCCGCUUGUGGUCCCAGCUCCACCUCCCACAUGCCGCUGGCACUUGGGGGCUGCUGGGGCGGGCAGGCAAGUGGGCGUCAGCGACCUUGGGUUGAGGGUACAAUUGAGCAUAUCCCCAUGCUAAGUGGUUGGCUGGUGCACGCAGGUUGCAGCGCUAGGUGGGUUAAUGCCUUUCUAACUUGGAUGGCUGCUAGCUCAGCUGACGCCAGCUCACCAGCAGGCGCCCCAUGCCGCUUGUGGUCCCAGCGCGCGCCACCUCCCACAUGCCGCUGGCACUUGGGGGCUGCUGGGGCGGGCAGGCAAGUGGGGGUUGGCGUCGUCAGUGCCCUUGGAAUGAGGGAAGAAUUGAGCAUACCCCUAUGCUAAGUGGUUGGCUGGUGCACGCAGGUUGCGGCUACUGUAGGUGGGCUGGCACGGCUUCCUGAUUUAGAGUGCUGCCGUGCUGGAAGGCUCCCAGACCGCGAUGUCAGUUGCAGCUGGCUGGGCCCACCCGACAGGCUGGGCCCACUUCCUUGGCCAUACAAAUUUGAUGUCAUCCCAUGGUCCCAGACUGGCUACCGUAUCCUUGCUGCAAUCUCUUUCGUCUCCGCCCGCAAGCCCGCCCUGCCUUCCCCCCAGCCACCCCGCCCCCCGGCAGGGUGUCCAGCUCCUACGCCAACCCGACCCUCACCCUCCCUCCCUCCCCAUCCAACUCCAACUCUUGACCCACCUCACACAAACAGGCUCUUCAUUUUGUCGAAGGACUCCAAUAUCGCGCACUCGUUGGGGAACUCAUCCCGCAGGCUGGCUAGGCCUCCACGGGCGAUAAACUUGUUGAUUUGCCGUUCCAGGUGCGCGUCGUCGCUGUGCUGGCGCUUCUGGCUAAGCAUCCGCGCUGACAUCUGCGACAACAAGGAGUGCAUCUUGUCCUCCGCGUACAGACUGAGUAGUCCCAUGUUUGGUAUGGUGGAGAUCAACUCCAGGCUGCUGCCUUGGCUGCUGCCACGCUCCACGACCUGCUGCUCGCCAUCGCCCGGAGUCCGAAACUGCUUUGCCUGCCGUUGACGUGGGGCUUUGUAGCCCUCCAACGCGACCUCCAGCCCAUACUCAUCUUCAAGUACGCGCUUACCCAGCCUCGCUGCCUCAGAAACUUUGACAGGCGCCUGCUGCUGGACGUUCGUUGUUGCGCUAUCGCUUGCCUCGAGGUUAAGAGUAAUGCUCAUGUGAGUUUUCGCCAUUUCUUAGCACUGUGAUUUUUGCGCAGACGUGUUACAAAUGUGGGGUUCGAGCCCGGCGCGUAAAACUCUACCCUAUGGAAAUGAGACACGUUUAUUAUGAGCACAACGUUCAUGUGGGUGGCAAGCAGAGCGGUAUUACUCGGAUCCCGGGGCUGAGUCAAGACAUUGGGGGCCCGUUUCCUCGCAACGCAGGACCUCUGACAAGGAUGCUGACCCGACCUGCCCCUGCGCUUUGAAUUCCGCUACAGCUACCCUGGCCACGAAUGCGAUAGCCACCCUGCAGAGCGCGGUCGCAAAGCCGGGCACGAUCAUGUCCUGGCGGGCAUCAGGGCGGGCAUGAUACCCGUGAAGACGAGAGUACCCCUAUUGCCAAGCCUAGCCCCUCACGGCCAGGCACGCUGCUCAGGUCCUCAAGGAACAUCACCGCAAACGCUGUGUGACGCCCUCUCAUAUUCUCACUCAACCCAACAUGCUACGAGUCAUUAAAAGCGCAGUACCAUUGGUUCCCUUAUGCUAGUCGCAUCCACAAUUCUUGCCUCGUGUAGACAGGCUCGCUCCCCUCGACCACGCACGGUUGUUGUUCCCGGCGCUCACGUCUCAACGUUUCGCGGCAUCCGCCAGCAAAUAGCAUCCGGCAAGGCCUAGAUUGACACAGACCAUGCACGGAUCGUCAUGAAUACGCCAUGCUUCCCGCGCGUUGGAUCUCGCCACGGCACCGCGUCCGGCACCUCUCCCCUCUGUUGACGUAAUACGGCAAGUCACGAGUCGACGUCCCUCCCACACUCACAGCUCUAUCAGCAGCAGUGCCAACCUCCCGCCGUUGCAAGUAAGGGCUGGCCACAGCUCGGCAUCACAAGUAACUAUUCUGAAGGGCAGCGUGCUUGCGCUGCCAUCCCUCAGCUCUCGCCAAAGCAUCCACCACCCAACUUGAUCAUAGCUCAGGUCCCACCACGGUCCAGUCCUUUCGCUUGUCAUAUCCAGUAAUUGUUUGUUGCAAUCUUCAUACCGCGCAUGGCACUCAUAGACAUCCUGCUGCGCGCCUCGUCACAUCAAUAAGCCCACCUGGAACUCCAUCAGUCAGUCAAGGGGCGGGCAACCAGGGCCCGUGCACACACCGACGGAGCAGCAGCGGUCUUCACCGCCGCGCCCACUCGAGCUCCUAUCUACUCUCUGGAUCGUGCCUGCGUGCCCAUAAUUAAGCGAACUCUCGAGCCCACAAAUCCAGCAGUAACGUUGCGUGUUCCCGGCAACGCCAGGCGCUAGACAUCGUUGUAUCUUUUCUGUGCGACGAGCGAACCCACGCCAGCAUGCCCCCCGAAUGCCGGGGGCCGCAGCUGCGUUGGCUCCGUGCCCACCAUGCGCAGACGCCCACUCUGUUCAGCCGCAGUACUAAUACACUCAGGCAGCGGCGCGGGAUUGCCCACCCCCUGCCCGCAACAAUGAAUCAAAGUUUAGCGUCGCGGCGCGUCGCUCCCCAUCUAUCCCCCAAGGCUCGCAUGUCACGCCGCCACCGCGUCCCCCAUCGGUGCAAGCGACAUUUGCUCGAGGAAACAACCCCAUAAUUGCAAGCGACAUUCUUUAUUCACCGGCCACGCACAGCCGUGUAGCUCGGGCGCCGCCUGGCCAGCCCAGCGCCGCCGCGAGCCCGUGGCAGCUGCACACCGUGACGCCGCCAUAAAACGAUAGCAACUAUUACAAUGCUGAGCCGCCGGCAACGAAUGCGGCCCACUAAUGAAACACCUUAGCCCGACCGCCGCCACUGCAGAGCUCCUGCGCGCCGCACGCACCUCAGUACGCAGCAGCCGAGCCCAGCGCGGCCCCGCCCAUGCCCAGCCCCAUGCCCAUGCGGGCCAUGUCCAUGCCUGCUGCGGCGCCGCCCGCUGCUCCAGGCGCUGCCGAGGCCUGACCGCUGAGCUCCGCCACGAGGGCCCACCAGUCGGCGCGCUGACUGCGGUGCGUGACGGCAAGCAAGGGCAGCGGUUGCAUGGACGGCAAGGAUGCUCAGAGCACAGGCUGGUAGCCAGUAGUAAGCAACAAUGCGUGAGACAGAUGUAGGAUGCUGUCGAGGCUCAAGAGGCAGGUUCGGAACGGGGGCGAGCGCGAGAUGGGGAAGAACAGCAGCACGUGCAGACACAUGGGGUGCUCGCAUUGCGUAAACACAAACGCACCUGUAGAGGUAGGAGAGGUAGGGGUAGGCGCAGUUGUAGACCGUGAAGCACAGAAUGUGCAUCAGGUUGUGCGAGAAGCCCUGAGAGGGGAGGGGAGGCGGGAGGCGGGAGGCGGGAGGGGGCGGGAAGGGAAGGACAGGAGGGGGGCAGCACAGAGUCAGCGCGCACAGCAGCAUACCGUAUCGGAUGGCACGGCUAGAGCAGCGUGGCGGCUAUCGGUAUGAGCGAGCGCGUCCAGUGCGGGAGCAGGCCGGCGGCUCCCGCAAACCACAGCGCUACGCCCUCCGCGCUACGGAAAGCACUUGCGGCCGUCGGCACUGUCAGCUGGGAAAGAGAGCACGUUACGAGCCGGGCAGCCGAGCCCCUUCCUUCACACCCACCGCCAGAUCGAAGACGCCCGGGAAGAAGCGCUGCGGCCAGUGGGUGGCGUACACCAACGCCCCCAGGAAGUGGCAGCCCAGCAUCACCGCCGCAAUGCCCAGCUCGGGCCACACCUUGCGCUGCAGGCCGGGCGGGCAAGGCGGGGGAAACCGGGAAAGGGAUGGGCGGGGGCAGGCGGGCGGAAGGGGUAAGGUGUCCGUGCGGCAGUGCGGCAGUGGGGCCGGCCGCCGGCUGGUUGGCGCCUUGUGCGGUUGGGUGCACUGCCGUUUGGCGCCGGGCAGCUUACACGGGUUGUUUGUGCUUUGCGCCACAUAGCUGUGUAGGCGGGCGUCCCCUGCCCACUGCAAAAGCAUCAAUCUCAGCGCCCUGCACGCUGCGCCCGUCCUCCCUGCCCUGCAAAUGCCCAUGGCAGCAGCUUCGGGUCAAACCCAGCGACCACCGCGCACCUCCAGCCCCACCCCUCCAGCCCCACCCCUCCAGCCCCACCCCUCCAGCCCCACCCCUCCAGCCCCACCCCUCCAGCCCCACCCCUCCAGCCCCACCCCUCCAGCCCCAACCCCCCAGCCCCACCCCCCCAGCCCCACCCCUCCAGCCCCACCCCCCCCCCUCCAGCCCCACCCCUCUAGCCCCACCCCUCCAGCCCCACCCCUCCAGCCCCACCCCUCCAGCCCCACCCCUCCCAGUCCCACCCCUCCAGCCCCACCCCCCCAGCCCCACCCCUCUAGCCCCACCCCUCCAGCCCCAACCCCGCGUCUACCUGCAGCGCCAGCGCCAGCAGCCCCCGCGCCGUGACGGGCAGGUAGUAGCCCAGGCUGGUGAGGCCGAUCAUGCCGAUGAUGCGCCGCCGGUCCAGCUGCUGCUUGGGCUGCAGCGCCUGUGUGGGGAGGAGAGGAGGCAGAAAUAGUAUGGGGCAGCAGAGGUGGAGGUGGAGGUGGAGGGGAGGUUUGCGGAAGUGAGGGAAGCAGGAGAGGUGCGGGGCAUGGGCUGUAAGGAUAGGUACAGGCCACGGUCAGUGCCCUGCCGCCCCCCCCACCACCACACGCCGCCGUCCAAGCCCCGCGCCCCGCGGGGGCGCAUUUCAGCCAACCCACGUGCCGCCACGUCCACACCUCCGGUCACCGCGCCGCCUGCCUACCACAGAACCCACAUCGCCCGUCAGUCAGCUCAGGGCCGCCGUCCCAGCACGCAGGCCCCUCGUGCCCCUAUACCGGUGCCCCGCUCGUUUGAGCUUGGUUUGGUUUGAGUUUGGGCCGGUAUUAACCACCCCACCCCAGCUCAUUGCCCGCCACUGCCUAGCCCCUCCCACGUCCACAGCCGCCACCACCCCAUAAAACCUCUACCUCUACCACCAAGACCGCCACCGUCAACGCCCCGCCCACUACCUCCUCCACGCCCGCCACGCACCCACCCACCUGCACACUACUGAUGCCCAUGCCCGCCGCCACCGCCACCACUGCCGUCCAUGCCAGUGACAACCACAGCCCAAAGGUGAAGUAGGACAGGGCGUAGGUGGCACAGGUGUUGAGCACCAGGAUGAAGGUGAGGUCCAGCUUGCGCCAGCGGUUGGCCACAACGGGAGACUGCGCCAGAGGGAGGCGGAGGGAGAAUGUUGCAGGGGCGCGGAGGGGUGGCGGAGGGGGCCGGAGGGGAGGUGCAGGCGGGUUGAAGGGGAGCAGGGUGUGUGGGGGUGACGAGUGCGGACGUUGUGUGGGCAGUGGAAGGGGGGAUGGAAGCAGGGGGAAGGUGAGUCUAGGCCGGGCUACUGAGGGCUGUGAGGGCAUGGGAGCGCGGCGGGGGGGGUCUUUGGGUUGCACACCGCAGUGCUUGGUCCGGUGAAGGCAGGUGCAGGCAAAUCCGGCGGUGCGCCGGCGUCGAAAGCACGUGCCAAUCAACAUAUCCAUACCCCAUACCCACCAUGCACAUGAACGUAUGGUAGCCGCACGACAGCGGCCCGUGCAGCGUCUGGCCGAUCCACGCCGCGAAGAAAGGCGAGAAGUCCAACCUGUGUUCCAGCGCGACCGGAGUGAAAAGUGUGAAGUGCUGUCUGCUUGGCCAGCCUGAGGCCUCAGCAGGCCUAUGAGUAAAUGCGGCCCCCGGUAGCUAUGUGGUUCACUCAUGUCACGUAACACUCACCAGCUGCAGCUCAGGCUGCUGGCGGUCGAGGCAAAGAGCAGCAGGCCCAUCAGAAUGGACAGGAACGUCGUCCACGCAUUAACCGUUUCAUUGUGCAGCGUGAAAAGGCUCAUCAGGCACUCCCAGUAGCUUCCACCUCGCCGAUACCCGUGCCUGUUUGGCGGAAAGCGGUAUCAGUCGCGGAAUUCCUCACAAACGCCUUUCGCUGAACGGGCCCCAGAGCACACAGACCGAUGAGAGGCUGUGCAAUGCUAGUCAUGCCUUACCUGAGAAAUGGAAAGCGCUGCCAGGCCUCCACCUCCUCGGCUCUCAGGCCGGUCACCAGCGGCUUCGCGGCCUUCGCCUUUGAGGUCUCACAUUCCAACUCAAGACCAGACAGGGCUGUGCUGCUUGUAGUCCUCGAGCUAUCAGCUGUUGCUGAGGAUAGCGCGCUCGCAGCCGCGCGUGUGCGCAAGCGGUCGACUGUAAUUCUUGCCGAGGCGCUGGCCGCCUUUCCGCUGCUGGCACGCUCAAAAGCAUUGACACAUGUUGCUUUAUCAAGAUGUGCAGACUCGGGGAGCGUCGUCUCCACCAUUUUCCUGAGACGGCGAAUGGAUGAAGUUCCCAGGCCGUGGACUAAACUGCCUGCAUAUAAGCCAGGUAUACAACCAAUGGUUAGUAUGUUACUUUGGGCGCUGUGGAUGUGAGCUAAGUGGAAACGCCAAGAAUAGAAGGCGAAGCUCGCGAGAUGGGCAACGCGGGUUGGAAGGGCGAGGAAGCCGAAGCUUUUGUUGGCUUGCGUGGACACGCUCUGCUACUUAAUCGUGUGCUAUCAGCGCACUGUUCACACCCAGUCCACUCAACCUUCCUGACCGCUUACACAAGCCAGGGUUGACCCAGCGUCAUGCGCACGCACCGAGUGACACCGGGUCAACGCACGUGUGAAGUAGAGCCCCACGCAAAGCUCUCCCCGCCCCGCCCCAAACCCCACACACGGACACACACACAUAGACGGCCAUAUCGUGUAUUGCAAUCGUGAGAAAGUACAGCCCGAGUCAUUGUAUGCACCACGGUGUGGCAGACUGAAGCCUGCUGUUCGUCACAUCCCAAUCUCCAAUUCAAUACUCUUAAGCACAUGCGUACGCACCUAUGCAGUAAGAACCUGCAACAGUUCCUUCCAGAAUCCAUUAAAGUAGCUCCGAAGAUGCCCGCCGACACAAGUAGCGCCAGCCCCCUCGAGUUCCUACUGGCCUCUUCCAGCUGCCUGCAAGCUGUGCUUCAUAAUGUCUACUUCGCCAAAGCCCAGAACCAAAGCCCAGAACCCCUUUGGCUAGGUGUACAUUCACCGCUGCAUUCCUAACAUCCACAGCACGCAUGACAUAACAUGGCAGCAUGUGGCACCCUGCCAACGCUGAAACACACACAUCCGCGCAGUACGGCACACCCGGGUAGCACCCACCCGCCGCCACCACGACCACCACCAGCAUCCCAUCCCCAUCAUGACCUAUAACACUGCAACGCUCUCGCCACUAUCUAGAAACUAUCAAGCCGCCUCACCUGACCCACCUACGCGCGCUGCCGCUUCCGGUCUCCCCCGUCCGGCUGACUCAGCACGGCGUCCAUCAGCUCCACCAUCAGCAGCGGCGCCUCCGCAGCCAGCCUGGCGCGACUGACUCCCGCCUCCGCCGCCACGGCCUUGUGGUGCGACACGUACCACUCCUUCAGCCGCGCCAGCAGGCCGCCAAAGCCGCCGCCGCCGCCACGCGCCUCGCAGCAGCCCGCGGCCCACAGCAGGCUGUCCACGAUGGCCGCCGCGUCCACGGAUGCCGCCACCACGUCCAAUGCACGGGCGCAAAGCUCAGGCAGCAGCAGCCGGUCCGCCAGCUCAGCCACACCGCGCGCCUGCUCCAGCGGAACGUCCGUGUCGCCCGUGUACAGCCAUCGCAGCAGCAGCGCGAAGGUGUCGGCGUCCGCGUCCGGCAGCUCCAGCUCCGCCGCGCGCGCGUCCGCGAAGCCGCCGCUCGCCGCCAGGCGCUGCUUGAAGUAGUCGCAGCGCGCGGACAGGAUGGCACGGUGGCAGUGGAAGCGCCGCUCGCCCACACGAAGCGUGAGGUCUGCAGUCCCGCCGCCGCCGGGCUGCUGCGCGUCCUCCAGCAGCGCACCCAGGUCUGCGGGCAGGCUGCGCGGCGGCGGCCCGGCUGCUGCUGCUGCUGCUGCUGCUGCUGCUGAAGCUGGCGCCGGCAGUAGCUGCGGCAGUAGCGGCUGCAGCCCCAGGUCCAAGAGCUUGAGCUGGUUGUUGGAGCCCAUGGCUAGGUAGCUGUGGGGAGCGGUGAGGGAUGAGGUGGGGAGGAAAGGGAGUUGGUUACGGUAUGUGCCCAAGGCCAACGACUGGGUUCCAAGGGCGCAUUCUUGAGGGAAGAGGGAGAUGGGUCAGGUCAUUAGGCAUUUUUAACCCCAGAUAGAUCCAAUUAGGCCCAGAACCAGCCCACACCAGCCCGACCAGCCAACAAUGCGACCUGAAGUGACAAUCUGCACGGCACUCGCCGGUGGCAUGCCCCCAGUGCGGCUGAUCUGGCACUUCAAGGUACAGCCCCACCAGCCGUGCCCACCAGCCCUGACAUUUCCCCACCGCCCGACCGACCCCAGACAGCGCCGACGGGUGGCGGCGGCACUCCCAUCACCUCACCCGUUGGGCAGGAUGGUGGGGAACCAGCAGACCGCCGGAAUCGCCACCAGCGUCUCGACGGUGCCGUCAGGCGAAACGCGUCGCAGCCGACGCGACAUGGUGCCGUGCUGCACCGCGUCCGCCAGGUAGAUGCGGCCGGCGGCGUCGGCCGUAAUGCCAUGAAAGCAACAGAAUCGCGCGUCUGGGCCCCGGCCGUCCAUGCUUCCAGCCGCACCGUCGCUUCCUGAAAGCAGUGGUAGCGGCAGCUGCUGCUGCUGCUGCUGCUGCGGAAGUGCCGCUGCGGCUGCUGCCGCUGCCACUGCCGCCCCGGCGCCAGGCGCCCCCCACGCCGCUGCCCGUGCACCAGCCGCCCUUGCGCGGCCGGCGGCCGGCGCCGCAGGAGCCGCGGCUGCUGGUGCAGGCGGUGCAGGCGGCGGUGCAGGCGCAGCGGCAGCGGGCAGCGGUAGCGGCACGCGGUAGAGGGCGGUCUGCGUGCCCAGUACCAGCCAGCCGCUCGCGCACGCCGCGGCAGUAGCAGCGCCGGUCACAGCACUGUCAGCUGCGGCGCCAGCAUCAGCUGCAGCAGUAGCAGCAGUAGCAGCUGACGACUGCUGCGGCGGCAGCAGGCACACGGCGCUGUGCACGAGCGCUGGUGCGCGGUAGGGCAGCGUGUCGACCUGUGCAACGGCAUCCGCAGCAACGGCCUCGCCGGCGGCAGCGCCGCUGCUGAUGUUGUCGCCAGCCGCGGCCGUGGGCGGUGGCGCAGCGGCGCGCCACGCCGUUGGCAGCUGGAUGCGACGCACGUAGCGCUGCCCCUCCGCAAAGAUGAUACUGCCCGCGCCGUCAGAGGCCAGCUGCGCAAUGUAAACUCCCAUGGGGAGGAACCGAGCGGCGGGCCCGGGACCAUCCCGAUGCCCGCGCUCGUUCGGGUCUCCAGCGACGAGGGUCACCUCGUCGCCCACGAGCCGGAAGAUUGCGUAGCCUGACUUAAAAUAGACCGAGGCACUCCAUGAAUCCCACACGCAUGUAUCGAUGUUGAAAUCGCCGGUGUCAAAAAGCUGCCGCUCUCCACCAGCUGUCGGUGAAGUUUGGUAGAGGCGCAGCGGCUCGCCGAGCUCAAAUCCAGAACGAGCGUCAGCGCCCAGCAGUGGGCAUAACUGGCGUCCCAUAGCCACAAGCACUUCAAGCUUGGGCCCGGUGGCCCGCACGACGAGCUCAUCUAUCGACUGUGCGUGCAAGACGCACAUCGCAACAUUCUUUGUCGCUUCCAUCGUUGCGGGGGUCCCUUCAUACAGCCUCUGCUGAGUAUGGCAUUACUUUAUUGUCAGCUCUACGAUCGUUGCGCGCGUAGCCCCAAUUGACUCCCCCCCCCCCUGGGACACACACACACCGGCACACCGACCACCUCCGGGUUUCACUGUCCAUCCUUGCGAAUCUCGGAAAGCGCCCCACAAGCAGAACUAGGGGCCAAAUGCAGCACCACGACGUUCAUAUGUGCACUUUAUGACGUAACAAGCACAAAUGAAGCGCGGGAGGGCCAAUACCGAAUGCGCGUCUUGGCGCAGACACCUCGGCACAUGUCGACACAUGCGAACUGAGGUGGCGGGGCUUUGAAGCGCUGGUGCGCAUGAAUUUAUGUUUAGCAAGGCUGCUGAUGCAUGCUGACCAUACAUCAAAUGGCGAUGAGAUGAGUUGAACGAGAGGUGGGCUGGGUCGAGGGGAUUUCCCAGGAUAAGCUCCCGCGCGUGGAUCCCGCGUGAUUGAAGUCUCAGAACAGGACCGCCGAUGGCACAGCGGUGUCUAAUGGCGAUGUUUUUACCCCCCGAACAACAAGGUUUUGCCCGUGGGGGGAUCGGUCGUCCUUACGAGGGGAGUCCCCGGGGAUUUUGGGGCAUAGGGUCCCGCACUUGUUUCCUGCCCUCCGCCUGGGGCACGAGCUUGAAAGCGCAGGUGCCGUGGGCCCGUAGGGGGCCCGUGGGGGUUCGAAUCCUGUACGGAUGCAAACGUGGACGCAGACAUGCUAGCCAUGCUCUUGGGUCCUGAAGAUAAAAGCGUCAAGGGGGGGGCAUGAUUCCAAAACAGGAACAGACUUCAAGUUGCUGUGUGCUGCAAGGGGAUUGUGCAAUGCGCAUUCCGUGCGUGCACGAUUCACAUGACCACAUUGUUGGAUGUUUCCACGGUUGGGUUAGGGAUUCUCCGACGAGGAGAGUACUGAAGAAUUGGCAGGGCCACGCUAGGAUCCAAACCUUGUCCAAACUCCUUCAUCCCCAUCCUCACGCCAACCCUCGCUACCGCUUCCCGCUCUUCCCCAAGCUCUCCCCCUCUCUCUCCCAAAGGCCCUAGAUGCAAAGCUCCGCUCACUGGCGCCUUCAGCCAUACAGGCAACGUAGCGUCCUCGCGGCUCACUCACGGUUGCGUGCCGUUUCGGCGCGAGGUGCGCCCAUUGCGUCGAGACAUGGUCACAUCAAAGGAGUCCCAAAGAAGAAGGUUGCCCCUGGUGUCAGACAAGAGCCAGCAAUAAUAGAACGCAAAACGCAGAAACAAAGCAGAUAAAUGCAUUCAUCCCUGGCCCACCCCUGGCUGCAUCACCGGCAUGGCGUGCUGGCUGCUGGGAGCCUGGGACGAUACGGGACGAUUCGGGACGAUUCAGGGCUGUUAGGGCAUGUCAGCAUACCAUGCCGUGUGCGCAUGAGUAUGACGGGGUCGCAAAGCCGACUCACAGGCGCACGCAGGUAGGGGUGCCCCUGAGCACGCGCUAUGGAACAGAAGGCGGAAGGGCGCACACAGCGACGCAUGAGUGAAAGCCGACAGGGGCCUACGGGCGGGGGCAGAGCAGGGCAGAGGGAGUUUGCCGUUCGUACAUGAGGCACGAUCCAACAUGUUGACUGGCUGGUUGUGGCGUACCUAGCUUAUAUUUCAGCGGCCCGUGCGGGCCGCGCGAAAGGGCGGGGACGGGCGGGGGCCGCGGGCACCGUGCAUGUCCGGAUUACGAUCGCGGCUCCAGAGUAACCAGCAAUUGUCUGAGAAUGUAAGUAAUUGUUGUUUGACAUGUAUUCUUAGGAGAGUGAUUGCCUCUGCUCUCAUCAAUUCCCCGGCGUCCCGGAGUUAGAAAGUCUCACACAGACUGUCUAAAACAGCAACUUCUAGUUGUCAUUGUUUCCUAUCAAGUGGCUUAGCAACAAUGGAGCAACACAGAAGCGCAUCAGGGGCAGAGAAGUUUAGAAGUUCUGUUCGCGUUGUCCCAAUUCUCCCAACAACGCCUACCGAGCCCAAGUUACAAGCAGCGACUAAUGAGGGUGAGCAACGGGCUCCACUGCGGAUGCACAAACAGUCUGAGAUAUGGAGCCCCGCAUGUCCAUGUGUGCUCGUGUGUGCGCUCCAGGCACAGCGCCUUUUGAUGCCAUUGACGUGCCGCAAAGGUGUGUGUAUGGACUCAUUACGCGUGGAUUUUCCACAGCACUUGCCACCUUGACCUAACUGAUACUUUCCGACUGUCAUGGCCGCGCCACGUGUGUGCCUUUCAUGUCACCCCGACUCUCCCAACACACGCGGCCGCCCACCCCGUGUGCCCUGGCUUAACCAUGCAGUGAGGUCAUCCGAGGCAUGUUCGCGGGCCGCUACUGGGGCGCCCUCGCCAGGUGCACAUCUCCGGAGCAAGUAAAGGUACGUCGUACGUACGUAUCGCACGUGCACUCCCUUGCUCUUGGGUUCAUGUGUGCUGGAACGUUAACACGGAACAUAGCGGCGACACACACGGCGUUGUUCACAAAAGUGUAUGAGUUGAACAUGGUUGUGCGAAUGUGGGUGGGGCCACGGCCGGGCCAGAAUGGCAGUCCCAAACUCGAUAGUGGCUGCGUGAUACGUAUACGUUCAGCACGUGCGCAUAAACCCCAGCGGUGGGGAGCUAGCAAGGGCCAGCAUGUGUGGUUGCGGGCUUAGAUAGUACGCUGAGGUGCGUGACUGCGCCUGGAUGUGUUAGGACUAAGCAGCAUAAAAAGGGAUUGCCCGAUUGGAGCCAUGCAAAUUCCGCAACGUGUGUGUGUUCACACACGCCCCGUUCUCCCUUCAGUUUGCUUGACUGGGUCUCCUUUCUAUCUCGCUCCCCUGCUGACGCUCACCACUACAACACAGGAGCGGCUAAAGUACAUUUGGGGCACGCUCGCGCUCAUCAGCGCCCUCUUCUCGGUGUGUGCGGGGCUGGCUGCUGGCCGAUGGCGCGCGUUGCGUGUGUCAGAGGGCGGGCGCAGGGGGUCAAUGAGUGAGCCGUACUGAGCUGCGGUGUACGGGCGGGGGUGCAGAUGGGGAGGGGAGCACAUACGGCACGUAGGACAGUACGCCCGUACGCCGCCGCCGCAGGAGGGUUCGGGCGGGGGGUCACCUCACCAACCAACCAUCCACCCAACCGCCACAUACAGGCGCUCACCAUGCCGACGGUCACCUCUGCCCCCGGGCCCGAUGACGCCACCGACGCGCGCGUGCAGGUGUGUGUGCGUGUGUGUGCGUGUGCGUGUGCGUGUGCGUGUGCGUGUGCGUGUGCGUGUGCGUGACUGUUAGCUGGUAUUUACGUACCGUAUUGUAAGAUGCGGCAUGCAUGCACCAGUUGGCAACUAACGACCAAUCAACGGGCCGGUAGGUACGGUAGUAAGCGGGUAACGGUUGCUCUUCACCACGUCUUGAUUCCCGGACUUACCAAGUACCAUUCUGUCGCGCCUCCAGCACUAGCAUACUGCAAUACCGGUACCUGAGUGCUCGUGCUUGCACUCAUUACAUGUGGAAUGUGCCGCGCCUCUAUCUUGCCCCGCCCCUCACCCCAGGCCUACGUUGUGCUGUUCUUCAGCUCCCUGAUCCUGUCGUUCGUGGUGAGUAGCUUGCUGGGGGUGGGUGAGGAGGCGUGGUGGGUGAGAAGGCGGGGUGGGUGGGUGGGUGGGUGGGUGGGUACCUAGCUUCGGAGUAGGACGGGUCAGUGGAUACCGGGGGACGGAAAAUGGCAGCGCUGCUGUGACCGUGGCUGCUGUGACCGUGGGCGUGUGCUUGCGCGUGGGGACGGAGCAAGGGCGGCAGUAUUAUUCAUGGCUGUGCAGUCAAGAGUAUUGAUUAUUAAACAGGCUAACGCUGGUAACAAGCGACGGUUAUAAGGGCGCGCUUUCUUUCCAACCCUUCAAUUGUGAUCUCGGUUUUGUGCUGCCAUGCGAUUUCUGCCUCAUCAUCAACACACGUGCAUGCAUGCAGGUCAUCAUGACGACCAUGUGAGCCAUGAGUCAUUUGCCGUACGUGCGGGGUGGGGCUGGGGGGGAAGGGAUAGAGCUGCAUCGGGCGGGUGACACGUACACAUACACACGUGUGUGUAAGUGCGCGAGCGUGGCCCGCUGUCCACGUGAAGGGGGCGGGGCCGCAGCUUGCGUGCGCGAAGGCGCAUGCACGCACGCAGUCGGGUAGUGGAGUAUGCGAGUGCAUGUGCGUGCGCGCGUGCGUCGGUUGGGAAGGCGUGACGUGUGUGUUGCUUGCUUUGCAUGGGUAGGUAGGGAUGUGCGCACGACACCGUGUGACUAGUCCGCGGCAGGCAGCAGGGCUCGGCGGGCUCAAAAUCGGCCGCCACCAGGUUCUGUCUGGAUCAGCAUUCGCAUGCAAGGCAUCCGGGCACCACCCGAGCGAGCCACCCCACACCCGUGUGGUGCGCUCACGCCAGUCCACACCACACCAGCCAUCCCACCUACCUCAUGCCACCCAUGCUAUCGGCGACCCGCCGGCCCCGCCCGCCGUACACACUUCGUACAUUACACACAGCACCGUACGCGGCAGCAUGGCGGGCCCAUGAUGGCCACACGCCAGCCAUCCUCUGCCUGGCCCCGACCAACACCCCGCCCCGCCACUCGCCACACCCCAUGUAUGUGUGGAUGGUGUGCAGGGGCAUGAUGGCCCAGACACCACAACCACCACAAUCACCACCACAAUCACCACCACCACCACCACCACAACCACCACAUUCACCACCGCGCCCCUUGUACCACGUGCAGGGGCAUGAUGGCCACCCUGGACUACUUGGCCACACCCGAGGACAUCCUGGCUUACGUGGACAACUUUGCCUGGUACUCGGAAGCCAUGUGAGUGGUGAUUCUAGUGAUAAUGGGUAGCUAGCGACACCAGUGCAUAGGGUGCGGUGCCAGGGCCGGUGCAGGGCCCAUCACCGUUAGGGGGAGGGGGAGGGGGAGGGGGAGGGGGAGGGGGAGGGGGAGGGGGAGGGGGAGGGGAUGAUAGUGAUGAUGAGCAUAUCUAGUCACCUGGCUAGCUAGCUAGCUGGACGAGCAAGGGCCGGUGCGUAGUAUGUACGCAUGUAGGGAAAGGGGCCCCGUCAUCGUCGGACGCAUGUGGAUGAUCCCCAUCGCUACCUUUCACCCUUAUACCCGCCGCAACCCCCCUACCUGCAUCACUACCGGUAAUAAUGCUCUACUCCUCUUAGUACCGUACGCGCACACCAGGGUGUAUGAACGUACAUGACUAUGCAACCUCCCUGCGGCACCACCACCUCAUUGCGAAUUGCAACCGCAGUUAGUUAAACACGUGGUUGUUGUUAUUGCCCUCCUGCAUCUUGCAAAUCCCCACCCCUUCGCCCCACCCCCCACGCCCACCCCCUUUACCUGUUCCACCCACCCACCCACCCACCCACCCUCCCUGACCUCCUGACCUCCUGACCUCCUGACCUCCUGACCUCCUGCUGACCGCCCUGCUGCCACACCGCAGCUAUGUGGCGUUUGUGGGGUCGUUCCUGUCCAUGCUAGCGGGCGUGCUAAUCUACGCACACUACAAGUACCCGCCCAAGGUAGGCAACAGACAGAUAGGCGUCCAACAGGCGAGGAGCCAGAGGUCGGGUGCUAGGUUUAGUUUGAAGCCCUCAAUCCCCAUGCGUACUGAGUUACGUGGGUAAACAGUAGAACGGCUGGCUGCGAGGUAGCGCACCGACGGUGUGGGGCAUACACUGUGUGGGACACGACAAGGGGGACUGGAGCCACGGCCUUGGCCACAGCCCAGUGCAUUUCCGCAGAACAUACAGUAAGGGAAUCAAUACCGCAUACUUUUUGUUCAGUGAGUAUUUUCUGCGUUGGGACGAAUCUGGACGAACCCUCACACGCCACUGACAACUAACAACCGCAUGUACGCGCGCACUGCUGCCGCACGCGCAGAUCUUUUACGUCAUCAUGUGCAUCUACGUGGGGUUGGCGGUUGUCAACACAUACGCCGCCCUACGAGUGGACUACUGGGCUCGCAACCGCAUCUCACGCCGCGGCGUCGUCAUGAAGCACUUGGCUCGGACAGCCACCAAUAAAGCCGCCGACAAGAGCGGCAGCAGCGGCAGCGAUAACAGCAAUAGCACUAGUGACAAGAGCAAAGGCAUGUCGUUGUCAUGAAAGCGAGUGAGUAGCACAGGCGGUGGGUGUGGGUGUGGCGGCGGUGGGUGUGGCGGCGGUGUGACGGCGGUGAGGCGGUGACGGUUUAACUCCACGGCCUGACCUGUGGACCGUCUAGGGACUGGCGUCGACAAACUCUGAGGGGUCCAUUUUACUAUCUAGAUUGAUAAUUUAUUCAGAGCUUGCCGCAAGCAUGCAAGGUGUGCAUUCUGGACAAGGAAGUUUUCUAUAAACUUGAUUGAUUGGCGGGGGUUUCGGCCUUUCGGAAGCAUGCCAUGACGGCUGUCGGGAGGACCCCCAAGUGGAUCCCAACGCCGAACGCAGCACAACGUGAUGCAUGCAGUCUUGCAGUGCCACAGUAAGCGCAUAUGAAGCAAGGCAAAUCCAUUCCUGUGUCGUGGCUGGGACGCGUUGUCAUGAAAGCCAGUGAGUAGCAAAGGCGGUGGGGGUGGGGGUGGGGGUGCAGUGGCCAUUACAGUGUGUUGACGGCGGUGACGAUUUCAUUUUCAUCUCCAUGGCCUGGCCUCCGGGCCGCUUUGGGGCAGCUGCUGGCCUCGACAGAUUCUGAAGGGCCCAGGGGUUUUAAGGUGCGCAUGCCUAGCAGCUGUAGAACUGGACGCAAGCGUUAGGAUGUUGCAUGCACGCCUGGACGGGGCCUUCUAUGAGGAAGGGGCGGAAGCGUGACAUGUAUGAUAUGAGCUGUUGGGAGGACCCCCAAGUGGAUGCUCACGCUGAACGCAGCAAAACGUGAUGCAUACAUUCUUGCAGUGCUGUAGUUACAAGUAAGCGCAUGCGAAGCAAGUGAACUCCCUUCUUGCGUCGUGGCUGGGACGCGUGUCGGCAGCAGAUGUGCACGGGCAAUGCCAGGGUCCCCAAGCUGAAUCUCGGGAACGCGGGAUUGUUGAUGCUGUUUACUGAGGGACAUGACCAAGCGUGAAUCGCUGUCCGUGCGCGAAGUGGGGCGGGCCGGGACACAUCUCCAAGGGACGGAAUCCCGCGCGUGUCAAAGUCGUGUGGAUUCUGUGGAUUCUGUGGACGGCACAGCCUGGUAGAGCCUGUCAAAGCCUCAAGGGGACUCU
rnacentral:lncRNA from 1 species